GACUACGAAGGAGACUUUACAAUUAAUAACAAAUCUCAAGACAGACAGUGUAUAUUUAAAUUGGACCUCAUUGGAAAUGGGCUGGACUCUCGCCUAAUGGGCGUUCCUGAUGCUCAUUACGAGAUGUAGACAAAGAAUCCCCAACUAUCAGGAAAGAAUGUCCAGGCUCAAUCGUGAAAGGGCAACAGAACUUUCCAAUUAUACAUAGAGCCAAAAAUUGUGUCAUUCAUCAAGCUUCCUGCAAAUAUUCUGGAUAUGAAAUUAAUUAAAAUAUAGUGUAAAUUUAUUUUUUAAAUGUUAUUCUGUGCAAUAAUCUCAAAAAUAAUGUUAGCAAUAUGUAGUAAUUCUUGUAGGCUUUAUGUUUAUUAAUAUUGUAUUAUUACUGCUAAUGUUUAUGUUAUUAAUAGAGAGUAACCCGUUUGUUGUAAAGAAUAUAGAUGUAAGAUAAUAAGAUAUA